rnacentral:rRNA from 1 species
AUUGAACGCUGGCGGCAGGCCUAACACAUGCAAGUCGGACGGUAGCACAGAGGAGCUUGCUCCUCGGGUGACGAGUGGCGGACGGGUGAGUAAUGUCUGGGGAUCUGCCCGAUAGAGGGGGAUAACCACUGGAAACGGUGGCUAAUACCGCAUAACGUCGCAAGACCAAAGAGGGGGACCUUCGGGCCUCUCACUAUCGGAUGAACCCUGAUGGGAUUAGCUAGUAGGCGGGGUAACGGCCCACCUAGGCGACGAUCCCUAGCUGGCCUGAGCGGAUGACCAGCCACACUGGAACUGAGACACGGUCCAGACUCCUACGGGAGGCAGCAGUGGGGAAUAUUGCACAAUGGGCGCAAGCCUGAUGCAGCCAUGCCGCGUGUAUGAAGAAGGCCUUCGGGUUGUAAAGUACUUUCAGCGGGGAGGAAGGCGAUAAGGUUAAUAACCUUGUCGAUUGACGUUACCCGCAGAAGAAGCACCGGCUAACUCCGUGCCAGCCGCCGCUGUAA